rnacentral:rRNA from 1 species
CCUACGGGUGGCUGCAGUGGGGAAUAUUGGACAAUGGGCGAAAGCCUGAUCCAGCCAUGCCGCGUGUGUGAAGAAGGCCUUCGGGUUGUAAAGCACUUUCAGUGGGGAAGAAAGCCUUGGGGCUAAUACCCUCGAGGAAGGACAUCACCCACAGAAGAAGCACCGGCUAACUCCGUGCCAGCAGCCGCGGUAAUACGGAGGGUGCGAGCGUUAAUCGGAAUUACUGGGCGUAAAGCGCGCGUAGGCGGUCUGAUAAGCCGGUUGUGAAAGCCCCGGGCUCAACCUGGGAACGGCAUCCGGAACUGUCAGGCUAGAGUGCAGGAGAGGAAGGUAGAAUUCCCGGUGUAGCGGUGAAAUGCGUAGAGAUCGGGAGGAAUACCAGUGGCGAAGGCGGCCUUCUGGACUGACACUGACGCUGAGGUGCGAAAGCGUGGAUAGCAAACAGGAUUAGAUACCCCAGUAGUC